ensembl:snRNA U6 U6 spliceosomal RNA
GUGCUCGCUUCGGCAGCACGUGGACUAAAAUUGGAACGAUGCAGAGAAGACCAGCAUGGCCCCCUCGCAAGGACGGCACGCACAUUCGUGAAGCGUUCCUUUUAUUU